ACGAAAAGGUAACCAAGUGCUGAAUCGUUUAAGUUUAACGUACUGACGGAGAAAAAAAAACCCAAAAAAUUAUCAAACUUACAUAUUGGUUCCGUAUCACGGGAUUGCGGCUCACCAUCAGCUCCAAUCGAUCGAUAUCUUCUUUACAGCCCCUUCGAGCUGCCUUUUCCGAUCGAAGCGUUCCUUUCGUUUGGCCAACAGCAGAUAUUUGUACCGCUGAUAGUAGCGGGCAUUGUUGAGGUGCAGCUUGGCUUUCUGGACCGCUCGCAUCAGCUCGUGCUUCAACAUGUCAGUCGUAAUACCGUGACCCAGCCAGGCAUC